rnacentral:rRNA from 1 species
GAUGAACGCUGGCGGCGUGCCUAAUACAUGCAAGUCGAGCGAACAGAUGAGGAGCUUGCUCCGCUGACGUUAGCGGCGGACGGGUGAGUAACACGUGGAUAACCUACCUAUAAGACUGGGAUAACUUCGGGAAACCGGAGCUAAUACCGGAUAAUAUAUUGAACCGCAUGGUUCAAUAGUGAAAGACGGUUUUGCUGUCACUUAUAGAUGGAUCCGCGCCGCAUUAGCUAGUUGGUAAGGUAACGGCUUACCAAGGCAACGAUGCGUAGCCGACCUGAGAGGGUGAUCGGCCACACUGGAGCUGAGACACGGUCCAGACGCCUACGGGAGGCAGCAGUAGGGAAUCUUCCGCAAUGGGCGAAAGCCUGACGGAGCAACGCCGCGUGAGUGAUGAAGGUCUUCGGAUCGUAAAACUCUGUUAUUAGGGAAGAACAAAUGUGUAAGUAACUAUGCACGUCUUGACGGUACCUAAUCAGAAAGCCACGGCUAACUACGUG